UCAUGUUCACGGAAGUAGAGGAUUGAUCAUAAUAAAAUGUUUAAAAUUUUGUUAGGACAGUUACAACUGAUUUACAACAACUUAACUACGAUGGCGUGCGUAUGAAGUUAUCAUAUGGCCAUCAUGCAUUUCAUGUGAUAUGCAUCUCUCUUGUUUUAAGUAACUUUGAUAAUUUGAUAUAUUUUUAUUUAACACCCUCCCACAAGCUUGACCAUGAUAAAUGUCUAUCAUCCCAAGCUUGUACACAAGCAUUUUGAAUUUUGGUGAAGUUAAUGCCUUUGUCAGAAAAUCUACAAGUUGUUCUUGAGUGGAUAUAGGUAAUAACUUUGUACAUUUUCUCUUACAAAGUGGCAGUCGAUCUCUAAGUGCUUCGUCCUCUCAUGGAACACUGGAUUUGAAGUAAUAUGAAUGAAACUUUGAGAAUCACAUUAUAAUACAUGUUGUUUGUCACAGGUAACAUCUAAGUCCUUUCAGAGAUACAAGAUCCAUUGUAGUUCACAUGUGGCAGUUGAUAGAUCUCAAUACUCAACUAUUGAAGAUGACCUUAAGAUGGUUGGUUGUUUCUUUACUCUCCAUGACGCAAGUGAAUUGCCUAGAAAGAAAAUGAAACCAAUAGUGGAUCUUCAUGAGUUAGAACAACCAACCCAGUCUACAUCUACAUACCCUUAGAUUUGAGCAUUAUAACUUCUACGAAACAUGAGGCUUCUACCAGGAUUUUGUUUCAAGUAUCGUAUCACUCUGCAAGCAACUAUAAAAUGUGUAAUAGGUGGAGAAUUUAGAAAUUGGCUAAGUUAUUCUAUGUAUAGAGUUAUGUCAGGUCUGGUGGUGUUGAGAUAUAAGAGCUUGCUAAUGAUUCUUUUAUAUGUUGAAAUGUCCUCAAAAGGUUGAUUAUUGUCUUGGUGAAGUUUUGAAGAAGGAUCAAGAGGGGUACUAGCUGGUUUGGGUCCAAGGAGUCCAGAUGAGUCAAGAAGAUCCAAGUGGUAUUUUCUUUGAGAAAUACAUAUGCCAUAUCUAGAGUGAGCUACCUCUAAUCCUAGAAACUAUUUAAGGAUGCUAAGGUCAUUUAUUUUGAAAUUUUGAUAUAGAAUACUUUUAAUUCUAGAAAAUUCUGCAAGAGAAUUGCCAGCUAUGAUGAUAUCAUCCACAUACACUAGGAGGGAAGUGAAAUUACCUUAAUGUUUAUGGGUGAAUAAGAAAUAAUCAGAGGUAGAUUGAUGAAAUCCUUGUUGUAUAUGAAGAUGGGUUACCUUUUCAUACCAUUUUUUGCUUGCUUGUUUAAAACCAUACAAACUCUUUUAGAGCUUGCAUACUUGAUUUUGUUUGACCACAACACCGUCAACAAUGGACAUGUAAACAUCUUCUUGCAGGUCUCCAUGCAAGAAUCAUUGUUUGAAAUCUAUUUGAUGAAUAUGUCAAUUUUUUAGAGAGGCUAGAGCUAUUAAAAUUCUGAAUGUUGUUAAUUUUUCCACAUGUGAAAAGGUGUCAAAAAAUCUAGCCCUUAUAUUUCAUUGUAACCCUUGGCUACUAAUUUAUCCUUAUAUCUCUCAAUUGAUCCAUCAACUUUGUGUUUCACCUUGUAGACCCACUUGCUACCAAUAGAUUUUACAUGUGAAGGCUUUUCAACCAACUGCCAUGUGUUGUUAGUAUCUAAUGCAUCUAACUCAAUUUUCAUUCCUUUCACCAAACAUUGAUGCUGACAUGCUUCAUAAUAUGUCCUAGGCUCAAUACAUUUUGUGAUAGACAUGGAAAAAGUCCUUUGAGAUGGAGACAAAUGAUCAAAAGAAUGAAAAGAAGCAAUAGGAUAAAGACUACCUGAGGGUGAUGGUUCUUUGUGACUUGAAGAAGAACUGCAUACAUAGUCAUGUAAAUAAGAGGGAGUGUGCUUUUGUCUAACAUAUUUGGUAUGGUUAUCUUUGUUGUUGGCAACUGUGUUUGGAUGCAGAGUAGCAAGUACGUCAUCUAAUAUAGGAUCAUGUUUAGUUAAAAGCUUCAACAUGUGAGGGAUUAUGCUCUUGUGUUUUGUUGAGAUAGGUCUUGAGUUUGUGUUAUGUCUAAGGAAUUUGUUGUACUAGAUUGGUCUGUGUCAGUUGUGGUUUGUGGACCAAGAUGAAAUAAAUUUUGAAGGGUGGUAAGGUAAGAUAUGUUCAUGAUGUGUGAGAUUUCUUGAAACAAGGAUUUCAUUAUUGUUGAUGUCUGAAAGGACCGUACCAUUCAUACCAGGCUUGUAACCAAGGAACACACACUUCCUUGCACUAGGGGAAUGCUUGGUUUUAUGGGCUUGUAAGGUAUAGCCAAAGACAAGGGAGCCAAAGACUUUAAGAUCAUGCAUGUUAGGAGUUUGUUGAUGCCCAAUGAAAUAUGGAGACUUAUUUUCAAGGAUAGGAUUAGGGAUUAUGUUCAUAAUGAAGGAUGCAUGUAAAACAGGAUAUGAUCAAUAUGGUUUGGUAAGUUUAAUUGAAAAAGAAUAACAUGUGCAAUAUUAAAAAAAAUGGUGUUUUCCCAAGUUGUGACCAAUAUGGUUUUGUUGAGGAGAUUCUACACGACUUGUUUGGUGCACAAUGCCAUGAGAUGCAUAAAUGGAAGAGAUUUUGAACUCUAUGCCAUUGUAAGCUAUGACAAUAUCCAAUGGUACCAUCGUUAAACUCGAGUUUCAGCUUUCCUUCAAGUGCUGGACGCAUUGAACGAGCCCAGGAGUGAUGAUUCGCACCAUUGAGCUUAUGAGACACACUGACUGAUGAUGGUCCAUCACUCAGAUGAACAAAAAAAGGACAAGAUUGAUUCAGUUGAGGAUUUGCAUGAGGUUGAUUGUGAGGGGGAGCCAUGACAUCAAAAACAAUGCAUUCUCAGAUCAAGAGGCUCAUGAUACCAUGUUGAGAGAAUGAAAACUCCAUAGAAACACCAUGGUUAAAGCUUGUAAAAAAGAUGAAAAAGGAGAAGUAGUGUAUAUUGAACUACUUGAACUUUACAAUCUAAAUACAAUCCUAUAUAUAUCUUGCAUGGUGUUAC
rnacentral:lncRNA from 1 species